rnacentral:rRNA from 1 species
GACGUAGGGCGCAAGCGUUGUCCGGAUUUAUUGGGCGUAAAGCGCACGUAGGCGGAUUGCUAAGUCAGGGGUGAAAUCCUGGAGCUCAACUCCAGAACUGCCUUUGAUACUGGCGAUCUUGAGUCCGGGAGAGGUGGAGUGGAACUGCGAGUGUAGAGGUGAAAUUCGUAGAUAUUCGCAAGACACCAGUGGCGAAGGCGGACUCACUGGCCCGGUACUGACGCUGAGGUGCGAAAGCGUGG